rnacentral:rRNA from 1 species
UACGGAGGGUGCAAGCGUUAUCCGGAUUCACUGGGUUUAAAGGGUGCGUAGGAGGGCGGGUAAGUCAGUGGUGAAAUCUCCGAGCUUAACUCGGAAACUGCCGUUGAUACUAUCUGUCUUGAAUACCGUGGAGGUGAGCGGAAUAUGUCAUGUAGCGGUGAAAUGCUUAGAUAUGACAUAGAACACCAAUUGCGAAGGCAGCCCACUACACGAGCAUUGACUCUGAGGCACGAAAGCGUGGGGAUCAAACAGG